rnacentral:rRNA from 1 species
UUUGAUCCUGGCUCAGAUUGAACGCUGGCGGCAUGCUUUACACAUGCAAGUCGAACGGCAGCGCGGGGCAACCUGGCGGCGAGUGGCGAACGGGUGAGUAAUAUAUCGGAACGUACCCAAGAGUGGGGGAUAACGUAGCGAAAGUUACGCUAAUACCGCAUACGAUCUAAGGAUGAAAGCAGGGGAUCUUCGGACCUUGUGCUCCUGGAGCGGCCGAUAUCUGAUUAGCUAGUUGGUGAGGUAAAGGCUCACCAAGGCGACGAUCAGUAGCUGGUCUGAGAGGACGACCAGCCACACUGGAACUGAGACACGGUCCAGACUCCUACGGGAGGCAGCAGUGGGGAAUUUUGGACAAUGGGCGAAAGCCUGAUCCAGCAAUGCCGCGUGAGUGAAGAAGGCCUUCGGGUUGUAAAGCUCUUUUGUCAGGGAAGAAACGGUUGAGGCUAAUAUCCUCGACUAAUGACGGUACCUGAAGAAUAAGCACCGGCUAACUACGUG